UAAUAAUUUUCUAAUUUAAUCUAUCCUUAUCCAGUGAACAUUUUGUACAGGCUAAAUAUGAAGGGAUGGGUAAACACUGCUUUUUAAAUAUUCAAAGUUAAAUUAAUAUCUAUUUAAGUUAAGAUAUUGGGAUACACACCAAAACCUAUUAAAAAGAAGAUACAGUAACUAAAAUAUUUGAUGGCAGCAAGCCUAAGAAAUAAGAGAAAAUAGCUCAAAAAGAUGAGGAAAAGCAGGAUACAUGUAAUACUUUCAAAAAUCAUCACAGCACUAGCACAUUUUGUAUUAUACUAUUGUUUUUAAAGAAAUUGAAAAUGUACAAGUAAACAAAUGAAGUAUAGUAUAUAUGAAGUAAGUAUAUAUAAUUAAUUAGUCAUUAUUUUUCAGCUAAUCCAUUUUCUUUUGGAAACCAAUGAAAACUCAUAUGCAGAACCUAUUGACCAACCUGGACUAUCAGCAUCUAAGGAAACAGCUCAAUGAAGACAUGAAUAGUGACAAAAAUAUCCCACUCUCAAUCCAUAUUGAAGAAUAAAUCAACUUUGUGCAACAUAUACAGAUAUAAUUGCCCAGUCAUUGUCCAUCAUAUGUGCUAAGGAAUGUUCAAGUGAAGAAUGAAGAAGUGAAGAUAAUGAACAAUCUUGUAUAAAGAAUACAAAAUUAAAAGUUUAAGAAUUAAGAGUGUCGUUUUCAUCAAUUUAUCCCAAUGCACUAGUGUUUUCAUUUGAAGCUGCUAAUAAUUCCUCUUCAUUAUAAUCAGGCUCAUAUUGAUAUCCUUUGCAGUCAGACAUGAUCAGAUGCUUUCACUGAGAGGCAAUUGCCCGGUAUACGUCAUAAACAGAUGGGAUUGUGGGAAAUAUCUUAAAGAGCGAUAACUUUAUCUUGCAAAAUGGCAGCCUCCAGCAGAUGAUGUGUAGCUAUAUUUAAUAGCCGAUUUCUACACAACAGAUUACAAUCAAAUGGAAAUAACCAGUGGACUUAAUUACUAAAUAUUUAGUAUUUGAAAUGUGAAAA